rnacentral:rRNA from 1 species
UGGGGAAUUUUGGACAAUGGGCGCAAGCCUGAUCCAGCCAUGCCGCGUGCGGGAAGAAGGCCUUCGGGUUGUAAACCGCUUUUGUCAGGGAAGAAAUCUUCUGAGUUAAUACCUCGGGAGGAUGACGGUACCUGAAGAAUAAGCACCGGCUAACUACGUGCCAGCAGCCGCGGUAAUACGUAGGGUGCAAGCGUUAAUCGGAAUUACUGGGCGUAAAGCGUGCGCAGGCGGUUUUGUAAGACAGAGGUGAAAUCCCCGGGCUCAACCUGGGAACUGCCUUUGUGACUGCAAGGCUUGAGUGCGGCAGAGGGGGGAUGGAAUUCCGCGUGUAGCAGUGAAGUGCGUAGAUAUGCGGAGGAACACCGAUGGCGAAGGCAAUCCCCUGGGCCUGCACUGACGCUCAUGCACGAAAGCGUGGGGAGCAAAACAGGAUUAGAUACCCUGGUAGUCCACGCCCUAAAACGAUGUCAACUGGUUGUUGGGAAGGUUCCUUCUCAGUAACGUAGCUAACGCGUGAAGUUGACCGCCUGGGGAGUACGGCCGCAAGGUUGAAACUCAAAUGAAUUGAC